UGAACAUGUGGCUGCCUGAGUGACAGUUGCUUAGGUAUCAGAGUUCCCUGCAAGUCACGGAAAACAGCUUUGGCUAAUUUAAGCAGAGGAGAAAUUUAUUAAAAGGACUUUGGGCACUUAUAUCGUCUUCAGGUGGACCCAAGGACAAAGCUUAGAGGGUACCCAAGCCAGUAACAUGGCCAAAGUCACCCCAUGGACCUGGGCUGGUGAAGAUGCCAGGCUUCCCCGUCACUUGUCCUCGGAAGGGAUCCCAGAUGGUCCUUCUUCUUCUCGGCAGUGCUGAUUUUCAAUUCAGAAUUGAGGGUGGGUAUGUUGGGGAGUGACUCCCAGGUCACAUGCCUGCACCCACCCUGCAAGGGAUGCUGGGAAAGUGAGUUUCCAGUGUUUUCAGCUUCUGCGCUGGAAGGCGGGACUCUCCAGUAGAAGAAGGGGCUUCAGAUGCUGGGAGGCCCAAAGCAUUCAAAAGUCCUUCCCACAUAGGGGCCAUCACUAAGAUGGCCCUGGAGUGUGACUGUGAGUCCAGUGCUGUACACACCUGGCAGGGAUUACUGAUCUGAAGGACCCUUCAUGAGACAUGGGAAAGACACCUGUCCUUAAGAGGCCUGACCCAGCUACGAGUUCCUGAUACCUGGGACCGUCACUGACCGCACAGAUUCAUCAAUCUAGACACUUCUAGCCCAGCACAGUCUCCUUUGAAUGAAAGUUCUGCCGUUAAGGACUCAAAUCCAGUCCGUUCAGGAGUUCUGCCCCUUCUUCCUGGGAAGCUGCACAACUUCCAUGGAGCUUGCAUCCCUCCCUGUGUGAUCUUUGUGGCCUUUGGUCAUCCACGCCUGUCCUCCUUGUACCUGCCCAGAAGCCACUAUGACCUUUGGCCUCUGUUUGCCAGGGUUAUGCAAUCAACUCUGCAGCUGCCUAACCAGAACUGUGCACCCCUUCGGUCCACCAGUCUGCUCCUGGCCAUACCUGCAUCCACUUUGAAGGAGUAGAAAUUUCUGGGUUCUCGCCAGGUGCUGUGGUGCAUCCUGUCAUCCCAGCGACUCAGGUGGCAGAGGCAAGAGGAUUCCAAGUUCAAAUCCAGCCUCAGCAACUUAGCAAGCCCCUAAACAACUUCGAGAGACCCUGUCUCAAAAGAAAAAAGAAAAAGGACUGAGAUGGGGCUCAGUGGUUGAGCACUCCUGGGUUUAAUCCCCAGUACAAAAAAAAAAAAAGAAAUUCUGGGUUCUCCUCCUUGUGACACUCAUGUGGAAGGAGUCGGGGGUGUCGGGGGGGCAGGUGGCUAGCUCACCUUCCAUCUACUGAGGCCUCUCCGUCCCCAGGCCACACACCUGCUAAGGGAGGUGCACGUUGACCCCCGCAUCCUUCAAGUGUACCCAGGGGCUUCUCUCAUGCCACCUAGACCCCCUUUGGCCCACAUCUGUGUGAGGGUUGUGACACUGUCCCUUCUCUCCCACCUGCAGGUCAAGCCUCUCUCUGCUUUUGGGUGGGAUCUUUGCUUCUGUGGUGACGCAGGCUUCCCUUCACCAGGGCUUAGGGCAUCAGCUGUCUGCUCUUCAAGUUCAAAGCAAGGCUUCUGGACUGACAAAAAAGAUUUCUCUUUCAAAACCCGGCUCUUGUAGGGCUAUAGUCUCAGCUCUGGGUUUCAAAGCCUCUUUUGCAACUCAGAGCCAAGGGUUUGACUCUUUGUUCUGGUUUUCCCGUGGAGAGCAGGAAUCAGAGGGAGCCAACUUAGCAUCUGAAUGGAGAAGAAUGGAUAUAAGGAAAUUGUCUAGAAGAACAAUGGUUAAUACCCUCAAAUGAUCUCAAAUGAUCAGAACCUUAUCUCCCUGUUGUUUCAUGUUAAUCCCUCAGGGGCAGGGGCGCCCAUGGAAGACCUGGCACUAGGGUGAAGGGAGCAGGG
rnacentral:lncRNA from 1 species